ACAUGUGCCACCACGCCUGGCUAAUUUUUUGUAUUUUUAGUAGAGAUGGGGUUUCACCGUGUUGGCCAGGCUGGUCUCGAACUCCUGACCUUGGAUGAUCUGCUCGCCUCGGCCUCCCAAAUUGCUGGGAUGACAGACGUGAACCACCGUGCCUGGCCGACAGUCACCUUUAGAAUGUGAACAGUGGACACUGUGUUGGGGUCUCCUACCUGUGCCUGUGAUGUGGACUGGCCCAUCUCGUCAUGGACAAGUAGAGAUGGGGUUUCACCAUGUUGAGCAGUCUGGUCUUGAACUUCUGACCUCGUGAUCCACCCGCCUCAGCCCCCCAAAGUGCUGGGAUUACAGGCGUGAGCCACCGCGCCCGGCCUGAGACGGCUUUCCAAGGCUGCAGAAAUGAAGUCUGCAAUAGCAGAUCCUCUUUGCCUGGGUUUGCACGUGAUCCAGCAAACCACCCACCGACCCGUUGCCUCAUGUGAGACAUCCUCAGGGAACAGCAAGGUGAGCGUGCCGCAGUCUCGCUGUUCUUGGAAGGGACUUCCAGCCUGGAAAGAAAAGGGAGGGAUAAGAGAGCAUCUGUGGAUCUUCCUGGCAUAUUCCUUCUCCUACAAGACCAUACAGGGUAACUUUGAGUCAUGGCCAUGGCAUUUGUAAACUGUCCUGGCGCUGGUGGGAGUGUCUUUGAGCAUGCUAACACGUUAUAAUUAGUGUAUAAAGAGCAGUGAGGAUGACCAGAGGUUGCUCUCUUUGCCAUCUUGGAUUUGGUGGGAUUUGUCCGGCUUCUUUACUACAACCUGUUUAAUCAGCAGGGUCUUUAUGGCCUGUAUCUUGUGCCGACCUCCUAUCUCAUCCUGUGACUUACAAUGCCUAACCUCCUGGGAAUGCAGCCCAGUACGUCUCAGCCUCAUUUUACCCAGCUCUGUAUUCAAGAUACAUUCACUCUGGUCCCAACGCCUCUGACACUACGUUCCAGGGAUUACGGCAUGAACAUACUGUUUUCAGGACCCUAUCUAGCCCACCAUGUAUUUUCAGAGCUGCCCUUGGCCAUCUGGAAGAUGCAUGGUGAAAGAAACGGAUGCUUGCUCUCAGCACACACUUCCUUCCCUGACAGUUUGUCGCCUAGCAGCUAUUUUGGCUUCCCAAGGGAAAUCUUGUCCUUUGCCCUUGUGGGGCUUACUGCAAAUCAACUCAUCAUGAGGAAGAUUAAUCAGAGAAAAGACAUACAAUUUUUUUUUUUUUUAAACUGUGAGCAUGAAGAGAAUCACAGAGUGUAUACUCAAUCUCCCAAUGGGGGCAAAAUACUUCUGUAACCUCCUUUCAGGUGGCGAGAGGGGACAUGGGAAUGUAGGUAAUUCUGUUGAGUGGUAAUAAGUGAUGACUAGGAAGAUUGAAUGGAUACUUGGGAGAAUGAAUAGGGGGAGGAAACAGAGAUUGACUUAUUAAUGGUUCCCUUUGGAAAUUAAAUACUCCUUGGAGACCAGUCAUUACUUUGUAAAAAAGUCUGUUUGAGCGGGCUUACAUCUUAACGUUCUUUCCUGUAGUCAAGAAGAAGAUCCCAGGGAGGGAGGGAAAGUGAAUUGUAAUAAUCCCGACAUGUUCAGGGAGGGACCCUGUGGGAGGUCAUUGAAUGAUGGGGGGCAGGUGCUUCCUGUGUUGUUCUUAUGAUAGUGAUUAAGUCUCACAGGAUCUGAUGGUUUUAUAAAGCCAGGUUCCGCUGCACAUGCCCUCUUGCCUGCCGCCAUGGAAGAUGUGCUUUUUCUCCUCCUUUGCCUUCCGCCAUGAUUGUGAGUCUUCCCCAGCCAUGUGGAACUAAGUAAAACGGGGAAUUUUUUAGAAACACGUCAAUUACCUUUGAUUUUGUGUCAUAUACAGAAGGGAAUGUUUUUAUUCCUGCAAACCCCAUAAAAGCCAGUGAUGCAUUUUCAUAGCCCUCUCUUGGCAGAAAACUGCCUUUGAAAUUUCUGGAUCAAGAACGUAUUAUUUUCUGAUGGCUUUUUUUUUUUUUUUUUCUGGUGAUGUAUCUCAAAAGCUUCAACUUUUCCCCUCCUGUUAGCAGAAUACAGGGGAUCCGGUACCGAAUGCAGCAUCUACCAACCACAGGCACUGGAUGUAACUAUGCUUUGAAUUUUGAAGGUCCCUGAUAAGACAUCUUUGAGGUCAGGCAUAAAUCAUCACUUCACAUCUUGACGGCAAUGCAACGAAGACAAGUAUCUGUCUCUUUGGGUCUGUCUAACAAGGAGCAAAGCCUGGCCUCCCACCAGCAUCCAGACAAUAGUGGAUUCCCUCUCCAUAGAUGUCAAAAAAGAAACAGAUGCUCCCGCAGGUGAAAUGAGCUCUGGUCCACAAUGCAACGCAGGCUGUGCAGAAAAUCAAAGAGGAACCAACCCAGAAGUAUCCCCCAGGACAAAUCAUUAAGGGGGAAAA